CCCUUAGACGUUCUGGGCCGCACGCGCGCUACACUGAUUCAUGCAACAAGUUUUGUCCUUGGCUGAUAGGCCUGGGUAAUCUUUGAACGUGAAUCGUGAUGGGGAUAGAUGAUUGCAAUUAUUCAUCUUCAACGAGGAAUUCCUAGUAAACGCAAGUCAUCAGCUUGCAUUGAUUACGUCCCUGCCCUUUGUACACACCGCCCGUCGCACCUACCGAUUGAAUGGUCCGGUGAAAUCUUCGGAUCUGAGAGAUGUCUGAUUAAUUUCGGACGCCUUUUGGAAAAGUUGCUUAAACCUUACCAUUUAGAGGAAGGUGAAGUCGUAACA
rnacentral:rRNA from 1 species